AUGCUGGACGAACAGAAAAGGUCUUCAUCAAAACAGAAAAAGAAGAGACGCAAAACUGCUUCGGAUGGUGAAGCUGGCCCCUCAAACCAGGGUAUUUGUAUUGAACCGAGUUUGACUCUGAUGGCAGCUUUAAAUGUACGCUUGAAGGACAAAAUGGCAUCAGUAGAAAAGCUCAUUGAUAAAGCGCAGGGCAUUAUCGCAUUGGCAAAGCCGUCAACCAAGGGCGAAACUGCUCCCGCCAGAAAGAUAAACACACGAACUACAUCAGCUCCAACGGUAAAGAUAACUGGACGAGAUGGGGAUCGUGACCGGAUAACAGAAAUGCUUCAUGGUAGAGAGGAUGAUGUCAAUCCAAGUUCAAGUAACAGUAAUUGUUUCUCUGUAAUAGGCAUUUAUGGCAUUUCAGGAUCUGGGAAGACAACGCUCGCACAACAUGUUUGCAAGUAUGAGAGAAGUAAUACCUAUUUUGACCUUAUUAUAUGGAUUCAUGUUUCUCAGCACUUUAGUGUGGGUGACAUUUUCAAGGAGAUGUUUGAGGCAGCUUCAGUGGAUAAAGACAAAGCUUGCCCUAAUUACAAUAGCCUUGAUGUCCUUGAAAAAGAACUGGAGAAGAAACUAGAUGGUAAGCAAUUCCUAUUGGUAUUAGAUGAUAUCUGGUGCAAUAAGGAUGUCAGUGAGCAGCAGUUACUGAGGUUACUUUCUCCACUGAAUGUUGGAAAGAGAGGAAGCAAGAUCCUAGCGACAAGUCGCAAUAAAGAUGCAUUUUCAGAGCUAGGUCCUGGUAUGGAACCUACCUUUUUUCAAAUACCUACCUUGGAUGAACAAGUGUUCUUGGAAUUGUUCAUGUAUUAUGCCCUUGAUGGUGGACGUGUUGAUGAUCCAGAUCAAAUAGAACUCAGAAUUAUCGGGGCUGAAAUUGCACAAAAAUUGAAAGGAUCGCCACUGGCAGCCAGCACAGUGGGAGGACAACUACGUAAAAGACAAAAAAAUGUUGACUUUUGGAGAGAAGUUAGAGAUAGAGACCUUCUGAAUGAGACGAUGGGGGCCUUGUGGUGGAGUUACCAGCAUCUUGAUGAGCACGUCAGGCGAUGCUUUGCUUACUGCAGUAUUUUCCCCAAAAGACAUCGUUUGAACUGUGAUGAGUUAGUUAAAUUGUGGGUGGCAGAAGGAUUCAUAAAUAUUGCUCAUCCAGAGCAGGACAUGGAAGCUGUUGGUCGGCGUUACUUUGAUGAGUUAGUGGCAACCUCAUUCGUGCAAUCAGGAGAAAAUUAUGUAGGCAAGGAUUGUUAUUUUGUCCAUGAUCUUAUGCAUGAUUUGGCUGAGAAGGUGGCAGGGAGUGAUUGCUUUAGAAUCGAGAAUGGCUUGAGAACAGAAAUUCCUGUUGAUGUUCGUCAUCUUUUUGUUGCAAAUACAGCAAUGAUUACUGAGGAGAUUUUUAAAUUGAAAAAACUGCGCACUCUCAUUAUCGAUGAUACGGCACCCAUCAACAAAGAACUCAUAAAAAAAGUGUCUGAGAACCUGGAGAAAUUGAGGGUUUUGGCUGUAGAAACCUCAGGGGCAAUUGAGUUCAAAAUUCCAGAAACUAUUGGUCAUUUAAAGCAUCUACGCUAUCUUGCUUUACUGAGCCCCGAGAAGUGCUAUCUUUGCCAAAAACAAUAG
rnacentral:rRNA from 1 species